rnacentral:rRNA from 1 species
ACGGAGGGUGCAAGCGUUAUCCGGAUUCACUGGGUUUAAAGGGUGCGUAGGCGGGCAGGUAAGUCAGUGGUGAAAUCCUGGAGCUUAACUCCAGAACUGCCAUUGAUACUAUCUGUCUUGAAUAUUGUGGAGGUAAGCGGAAUAUGUCAUGUAGCGGUGAAAUGCUUAGAUAUGACAUAGAACACCUAUUGCGAAGGCAGCUUACUACGCAUAUAUUGACGCUGAGGCACGAAAGCGUGGGGAUCAAACAGGAUUAGAUACCCUGGUAGUCCACGCCCUAAACGAUGGAUACUCGACAUACGCGAUACACUGUGUGUGUCUGAGCGAAAGCAUUAAGUAUCCCACCUGGGAAGUACGUCCGCAAGGAUG